rnacentral:lncRNA from 1 species
AAUGGCAAGGGCUUGCUAGUAAUAUCACCCUCACACCUCCACCUGCCACAAAAAUCAACAAACAAACCUACAGUUUGAGAUUUUGCAAUAUUGUAAUGACUAAUUAUAAAUGAUCAAAUAUUAAAUUAUAAUAAAAAAAUAAUAUUAAAAUAGUAGAGUUCAACGGUUUAAUGUUGAAUAAUACUAAGAGGAAGAUAGAAAUGACAAUUUAGAUCUCUAAAAUACAUAAAAAUUAAAAA